rnacentral:rRNA from 1 species
CAGCCGCCACGGGAACACGUAGGGUGCGAGCGUUAAUCGGAAUUACUGGGCGUAAAGCGUGCGCAGGCGGUUUUGUAAGACAGGCGUGAAAUCCCCGGGCUCAACCUGGGAAUGGCGCUUGUGACUGCAAAGCUAGAGUGCGGCAGAGGGGGAUGGAAUUCCGCGUGUAGCAGUGAAAUGCGUAGAUAUGCGGAGGAACACCGAUGGCGAAGGCAAUCCCCUGGGCCUGCACUGACGCUCAUGCACGAAAGCGUGGGGAGCAAACAGGACUAGAUACCCCAGUAGUCCCUGUCUCUUAUAC